CUUUGCCUGUCACUGGCAUGUGGCCCUGGGAAUAAUAAAAUUGUAGAACUGGAAGGGACCCCAGGGGUCAUCUAGGCCAACCCCCUGCAGUGCAGGAAUAAAUGUCCAGAAGGGAAUUUGGCCCUCCAACUGUAAAUGGGUUCCUCAUGUGUAAUGUACAGUCACUUUCAGUCCUUUUUUAAAAUUCUUAUAGUAAUGGAGCCCAGUCUCUUCUUUCACUUCUACAGGGGGCAUGAAGUUACUUUUCAUGGUCGUAGAAGCACUGUGGCACAAAGUGCUUUUUUUGCCACACAUUCAGGAAGUAUGUGGGUGCAUGGGUAGUAACUGGAAACUGCAAUACACACUCACUUAAUUUACUGUCUGAAGGACAUAUGCAAGGUUCUGUAAAGCUGAGUUCACGCAGCCUAAGCCUCUGAAGACAGGGACAAUAUUUACCACAAGACUGCAGACAUUAUGUUGAAAUGAAGGAUUAUUCACCCAGAAGUGUCCAAAAUGACAUUGUUCUAAUUGCAACAUCAGUUUCCUCUGAUUUCAAUAUUGCUCAUCCAUGUAUGUAGUUCAAACUUAAAAUAUUAGAGCACAAGUUACAGUGACUGAUGUAAGAUGGAAACAUCUAAAUUUAAAAAUAUAAUUUUCAUUAUAUCUAUA